AGGAACCACAUAUUAUUCAUCUUUGCUGUGAUAGAAAAUCAUCUGUCACAGAGACGUAAGAGAAAAAAAGAGGCAGUGAUCAACAAUACAGCAGAGGAAUCACUGUCAGGAAUAACUUCACAGUAGAGGCUCCAUACUUGCCUAUCAUUUAUCUUCCCAACAACUCUGCCAGGUGCCACUCCCUACAUCCAGAUGCCCUGCUCCAGGACCAGUCUUCCCACCAUGGUUAUCUCCACCAUCUGGAGGGCAGAGACACCAGCUUACAAUAGACGACACCACCUAUUGGAUGAGAAGAGAAGUAGGAAAGGCAAGAAAAACUGGUGUGAAGAGGACAUAAAGUAG
rnacentral:lncRNA from 1 species